GACGAACGCUGGCGGCGCGCUUAACACAUGCAAGUCGAGCGAAGCGGCGGACGGGUGAGUAACACGUGAGUAACCUGCCUUAGACAUUGGGAUAGCCUCGGGAAACCGGGCUUAAUACCAAAUGGUUUAAGAUGGACUCGCGUCCCAUUAGCUAGUUGGUGAGGUAACGGCCCACCAAGGCGACGAUGGGUGGCCGGCAUGAGGGGGUGAACGGCUCCAUUUGAACUGAGAAACGGUCCAAACGCUACGGGAGGCAGCAGUGGGGAAUAUUGAACAAUGGAUGGAACUCUGAUGCAGCGACGCCGCGUGAACGAAGAAGGCUUUCGAGUCGUAAAGUUCUUUUAUAUGGGAAGCGGUACCAUAAGAAAAAGCCCCGGCUAACUACGUGCCAGCAGCCGCGGUAAUUC
rnacentral:rRNA from 1 species